rnacentral:rRNA from 1 species
GACGAGCGCUGGCGGCGUGCUUAACACAUGCAAGUCGAACGGAAAGGCCCUGCUUUCGUGGGGUGCCCGAGUGGCGAACGGGUGAGUAACACGUGAGUAACCUGCCCUUGACUUUGGGAUAACUUCAGGAAACUGGGGCUAAUACCGGAUAGGAGCCCCCCCUGCAUGGUGGGGGUUGGAAAGUUUCGGCGGUUGGGGUUGGACUCGCGGCUUACCAGCUUGUUGGUGGGGUAGUGGCUUACCAAGGCUUUGACGGGUAGCCGGCCUGAGAGGGUGACCGGCCACCAUGGGACUGAGAGACGGACCAGUCUCCUACGGGAGGCAGCAGUGGGGAAUAUUGCACAAUGGGCGGAAGCCUGAUGCAGCGACGCCGCGUGCGGGAUGACGGCCUUCGGGUUGUAAACCGCUUUCGCCUGUGACGAAGCGUGAGUGACGGUAAUGGGUAAAGAAGCACCGGCUAACUACGUG